GACGAACGCUGGCGGCGUGCUUAACACAUGCAAGUCGAACGGAAAGGCCCUGCUUGCAGGGUACUCGAGUGGCGAACGGGUGAGUAACACGUGGGUGAUCUGCCCUGCACUUCGGGAUAAGCCUGGGAAACUGGGUCUAAUACCGGAUAGGAGCCAUUUUUAGUGUGAUGGUUGGAAAGUUUUUUCGGUGUAGGAUGAGCUCGCGGCCUAUCAGCUUGUUGGUGGGGUAAUGGCCUACCAAGGCGGCGACGGGUAGCCGGCCUGAGAGGGUGGACGGCCACAUUGGGACUGAGAUACGGCCCAGACUCCUACGGGAGGCAGCAGUGGGGAAGAUUGCGCAAUGGGCGCAAGCCUGAUGCAGCGACGCCGCGUGGGGGAUGACGGCCUUCGGGUUGUAAACUCCUUUCGCUAGGGACGAAGCUUUUUGUGACGGUACCUAGAUAAGAAGCACCGGCUAACUACGUG
rnacentral:rRNA from 1 species